GGUAAACACAGCGGGCGUUUGCAAACCCUCCCCCUCCAGUGUUUAAAUGUCAACUCCCCCCUCCGACACACACUCAAUCUAGCCUUUCGUUCCCCUUUCCUGAGCAAGAACAAAGCAAAACUAAGGUAAAGGGGACAGAAUCGUUGCAAAGGAGGCCGUUCGGCCCGUCGCGCUUGUCCCCGCUCUCCGGAGGAGUCUCGGUGACCUGGCCGGGUGCUGUCUUUCUUGCCUUUAUCCCGGCUGCUCGUUGCUAGGGAAGCGGCGUGAAAGAAAGAAAGGGGAGAAUCCGGGUAGGGAAAGCCCGAAUGGUGAGGACGUGAAGGGAAGAAUAAGAGUGGAGGAAGGGAAAGAGGGGAUCGAUCUUUUAAUUCCUGGAGGUCCCAGUGCAAUCCUGGAAGGUUAGCGAAAUUGGACUUCUUUCUUCUCCAUUGGUGGGGUUAAGGCGCCCACUGGGACUGAAGCAGUAGGCUAAUGGUAAAGUUAUCAUUUCUAUGUCAGGGGCAGGAAGUGUGGACCCAGCUGCUGCUACUGGGGUCUGGGCGCCAUAUAUUGGUCCGUGUUGCAUCCUCAUGAAAGGCUUAUUCCCAAAAUAUUGACUCUCCUACUCAUCGGAUGCUGCCUGACCCGCUGUGUUUUUCCAGUGCCACACAUUUUGACUCAUUGUUGUAUCCCACUGGCAAGCCAGUUUCGGAACCUGACUCCACCACAAUGAAGAAACAGAAACCAUAAGAACGCGUUGUGACAUAUAAUAUUUAAACUAUCUACAUUUUCGGGGUAUCGGUUGGCUGUAAAAUGAACAGAACUGGCCACAUAAAUUCCACGGCUACAAAACAAGUCAGAGACUGAGAAUUUGGCCACAACUCACUUGCUAACUUCCCAAGUCCUUAUCACCAUCUACAAUGGAUGAGUCAAGAGUCUGAUAGAAUACUCUGCAAUUGGUGGAUGAGUUCAGCUCCAAAAAAAAUCAAGAAGCUUGAAAACAAAGUAAUCCACUUGACUGGCACUCACCCACCACCUUAAACAUUCACUUUACCAUUGACAUAAAUCGCACAGUGUAUACCAUUUACAAGAUGCACUGCUGUAGGUUAACAAGACUGCUUCAACAACCUGGCCAAACACAUACUUGGAAAGACAAGUGCAGCAUAUGCAACAGGAGCAUCACUACCUGCAAGUUCUCCUCAACAAAGAAAAUAGGAACAAGAGUAAGCCAUUUGGCUCUUCAGACCUGUCCAGGUGUUCAAUAUUAUCAUGGUUGAUCAUCCAGUUCAAUACUCUGAUCCCAUUUACGUCCUAUACCUUUUAAUCCAUUUAGCUCUGAAAAGUACAUCUAUCUCUUUGACAACAUUCAAUAUUUUGACCUCAACUGCUUUUUGUGGCAGAGAAUAACGCAGGUUCACCACAGUCUGGAUGAAGAAAUUUCUCCUCAUCUAACUCUUAAAUGGCCUACUGUUGGACUGUGAUCCUCUGGUUCUGGACUGUAAAGACAUUUGGAAUAUCCUUCCUGCUUUUACCCUGUCUAGUCCUGUUAGAUUUAUGAAGAUUUCUAUGAGAUCACCACUCAUUUUUCUCAACAUUGGUGAACUUGGUCCUAACAAAUCCAGCCUCCCUUCAUACAUCAGUCCUGUCAUUUCAGGAAUCAUUCUGGUCAACCUCCAUAGCCAGACAAGGAGAUCAAAGCGACACCCAAUACCUCCGGUGUAAUCUCAUCAAAGCCCUGCACAGGUAGUUCUAUAAUGCGGUGGUUUCUUCAUCCAGACUGUGGUGAAACUGUGGUAUUCUGUGUGAGUCUGUGUUGUAGAAAAUCACACAAUAGAAUUAAUGGGCCCUAUGGGAAAAACAUGGUUAGGAGUGAACCACCAAAAAUAUCAGUAAAAAUUGAAACAAAAAUAGUAGUUAGCCUAACACAAACGAUAGCGCAAUCUAAGUUAAAAUUUUAAAUCAUAUAUACAGUGAAAUAUAACACUUUAAGAGGUUUCUGAAUUAAAUAAUACCCCAUCUGAAA